rnacentral:rRNA from 1 species
GGUUGCGAUCAUACCAGCAAU